CGUAUCACUCCUACGGGAGGCAGCAGUGGGGAAUCUUGGACAAUGGGGGCAACCCUGAUCCAGCCAUGCCGCGUGAGUGAUGAAGGCCCUAGGGUCGUAAAGCUCUUUCGCCAGGGAUGAUAAUGACAGUACCUGGUAAAGAAACCCCCGGCUAACUCCGUGCCAGCAGCCGCGGUAAUACGGAGGGGUUAGCGUUGUUCGGAAUUACUGGGCGUAAAGCGCGCGUAGGCGGACCAGAAAGUUGGGGUGAAAUCCCCGGGGCUCAACCCCGGAACUGCCUCCAAAACUCCUGGUCUUGAGUUCGAGAGAGGUGAGUGGAAUUCCGAGUGUAGAGGUGAAAUUCGUAGAUAUUCGGAGGAACACCAGUGGCGAAGGCGGCUCACUGGCUCGAUACUGACGCUGAGGUGCGAAAGUGUGGGGAGCAAACAGGAUUAGAUACCCUGGUAG
rnacentral:rRNA from 1 species